AACGAACGCUGGCGGCAGGCUUAACACAUGCAAGUCGAGCGCCCCGCAAGGGGAGCGGCAGACGGGUGAGUAACGCGUGGGAACGUACCUUUUGGUUCGGAACAACUCCGGGAAACUGGAGCUAAUACCGGAUAAGCCCUAACGGGGAAAGAUUUAUCGCCGAAAGAUCGGCCCGCGUCUGAUUAGCUAGUUGGAGAGGUAACGGCUCACCAAGGCGACGAUCAGUAGCUGGUCUGAGAGGAUGAUCAGCCACACUGGGACUGAGACACGGCCCAGACUCCUACGGGAGGCAGCAGUGGGGAAUAUUGGACAAUGGGCGCAAGCCUGAUCCAGCCAUGCCGCGUGAGUGAUGAAGGCCUUAGGGUUGUAAAGCUCUUCUGUCCGGGAAGAUAAUGACUGUACCGGAAGAAUAAGCCCCGGCUAACUUCGUG
rnacentral:rRNA from 1 species